rnacentral:pre_miRNA from 1 species
UUAACACAAAUUUAAAGGAAGUUGGAACGUUUGCCGUUAGGGGCGCUGGUCCAGCUGCACUCAAAUUUGAAUUA